UUUCCGUAGGUGAACCUGCGGAAGGAUCAUUCAUAAUAAAGUGUUUUAUGGCACUUUUUAAAAAUCCAUAUCCACCUUGUGUGCAAUGUUAGAUCUUGUCAAUCUUGGCGAGAUUUUUAUACAUCAACUCAUUCUUUAACUAAUUUGUCUGAAAAAUAUUAUGAAUACUUAAUUCAAAAUACAACUUUCAACAACGGAUCUCUUGGCUCUC
rnacentral:misc_RNA from 1 species